GGGGAUGCACUGGUUUCGACGGGGUUGUUGAAAUUAGGAUAGCGAGUAGAGGGUUCCGUUGGCCUCUUAAAAAAGCGGAAAAACUUUUAAAUGCCGAAAAACAACCGGUAUUGGCAGCUGCGUAAGAAAGCUGCUACAGAAGUUGCCUGAUCUGCAAGGCAAAUUUUCUGUUCAGAUGCAGACCUUGUCUUUAGGAGGUUAAAGAGACAAACCUUCAAAUCAAAGCUUUGAGAUUUGAUUGUAUGAUGAAGCUACUUCGAUAGAUACUUAGUCAUUAGAGGAUCAAUUGAAGGAAAUUUAAAAUAAUGACUGCACUCGGAGAAUUCCUAGCAGAUGCAGUUUCGGACACGGGUUCAAUUCCCGUCAUCUCCACCA
rnacentral:tmRNA from 1 species